rnacentral:rRNA from 1 species
GACGAACGCUGGCGGCGUGCUUAACACAUGCAAGUCGAACGGAAAGGCCCUGCUUUUGUGGGGUGCUCGAGUGGCGAACGGGUGAGUAACACGUGAGUAACCUGCCCUUGACUUUGGGAUAACUUCAGGAAACUGGGGCUAAUACCGGAUAGGAGCUCCUGCUGCAUGGUGGGGGUUGGAAAGUUUCGGCGGUUGGGGAUGGACUCGCGGCUUAUCAGCUUGUUGGUGGGGUAGUGGCUUACCAAGGCUUUGACGGGUAGCCGGCCUGAGAGGGUGACCGGGGAGUGUGGGACGGAGGAGCGGCCAAGACUGGUACGGGGGCGAGUAGUGGGGAAGCUGGCGCGAGAGGAGGGAGCCUGGGGCGACGGCGCCGAGUGUGGGAUGGCGGCCGGCGGGGUGUAGACGGAGUUCGCCGGGGAGGAAGGGGGGGGGAGGGAAAGGGGCAGAGCGGCACAGGAAAACUACGCGCCGGCGGCCGGGGAAAUAAUGGGAAGAGCACGCGUCUGAAC